UCGGGAAUUUUGGGCAAUGGGCGAAAGCCUGACCCAGCAACGCCGCGUGAAGGAUGAAGUAUUUCGGUAUGUAAACUUCGAAAGAAUAGGAAGAAUAAAUGACGGUACUAUUUAUAAGGUCCGGCUAACUACGCGCCAGCAGCCGCGGUAAUACGUAGGGACCAAGCGUUGUUCGGAUUUACUGGGCGUAAAGGGCGCGUAGGCGGCAAUUCAAGUCAUCUGUGAAAUCUCCGGGCUUAACUCGGAACGGUCAGAUGAUACUGCUUUGCUAGAGUGCAGAAGGGGCAAUCGGAAUUCUUGGUGUAGCGGUGAAAUGCGUAGAUAUCAAGAGGAACACCUGAGGUGAAGACGGGUUGCUGGGCUGACACUGACGCUGAGGCGCGAAAGCCAGGGGAGCAAACGGGAUUAGAUACCCCCGUAGUCCCUGAGCGGGCUGGCAAGGCGCAU
rnacentral:rRNA from 1 species